rnacentral:lncRNA from 1 species
AUCAAGUUUAAGUCACCGAACACCAGACAGUAAGACAAAUUUGACUUGCUUUGUGUCAAGGUCAUGAACUUUGUUUUGUCUUUGACCUCUCGAAAGAGAUGGCUCUCCCAUUUGCGGUGCUACCCAGAAAGUAGCGAUGUCAAAUGAUAUCUAGCUUUGCCAAAAGGCUCUUGAUGAAUUUAAAUGUUAGACGUAAACCCUUACAUAUUGAAAUCAUUAUGAGGUAUUGUUUAUUAAACCCUUGAGUUCUAGCACCGCCACUGAGCUCUCACAUAUCUCUACCAUUGGUCUUGAUGUCUUACAUUCUAGCAUACAUGCAUGAUCUUAUAUAAUUUGGUUAUUCACUUAUUGGUGUGUUUACAUCAUCAUCACAUAUUUGAUGUGCUAAGCUAAUGCUACCGAUAUGUUUAAAUGGAGUACAAAAAACUAAGUACGUCUCAUGUGGUAGUGUUUGAGGUACGUUGUGAUCAAACCUCUCGACCAAGGUUUGACAAUCCAUGGUUGCGACUUAAGUUCCUUAUAUCUUCUAUAUUACAUGUGCCACAAGGGCUCUCCUCUUUAUAUGCCUUUCUCUAUGCCUCAAAAGGAUAGUUCUCUAGAGCAAGAUUGUAAAAAGAGUGUCAAAAAUAUUGGAUGAAAACCUUUGCAGGUCUCAAAUAUUCUACUCCGGGCUUCACAUGUCCAAAUCUGUAUAGAAGGCAAGACUGGCUGAUCUCCAAUAGCAGUAAAGAGGCCAUACCCAAUAUAUGUUGAUAAAUUUUAGGAACCAACUUAGUUUGAACAUAUGUCUUUGUGUAAUAUGAAGCCGCAACUUCUAAUCUAAUUUCAUUCACGUAUAAAUGUUGCUAUUGCUCAAUCAAUAUCCCUCAUGCCUCCUAUUCUCACAUCUUCUUUCCACUAUUUUGAGUCUUAUCUUGUAAAUCAUUUUCCGAUGUUUAUGUAAUUGCCCUACAUAAGUUACUAAGCUAGGUGCUACCUAACAAUUUUGAAAAAGUGAAAUGAUGUAACAUGAUAUCUACUAGUGAAGUUGGGGCGUUAUAUAUAAGGCAACAAGUAUUAUUGGUGCAAGUGAAGUUGGUGGAGCACUUGUUUAUUUUCAUGUGUUCAAUGCUGGUUCUCCUUGAAAGCUUGAGCUAAUGCCAAAAGGUUGGCUACACACAUGCAGAGAAACCUCCAAUUAAGUCUGUUUUAACUCGUGUGGGUUACCCACUAACGAGCAAAGCUGGAAUAUCUGCAUUUCUAUUUCAGUUGCCCUGCCUUCUCAAUUCUUAACUUCUUCAACAUGAUUUUAUUAUAUCAUCGUUGAGAAUCCACGUGGAAAACAACAAACAGGAUGUUGUGUUAUUAGGACCUUUUCAGUAUUGUCAAGCGAGCACACAUAUAACUCAUAACUCAUAAUAUUUUUUCCCUUCUACAUGUACCGCUAAUUACAACCGCUGUAUAUUUUUUCAAUGACCUAAUUAACAAUCCUCAAGCUAGCAAAUCAAAAGAAUGGGUGGUCAAAAUCGGUUGUGCUUCAACAUAUGACAUUUGUUUAGAUCAAACUACUCAGCCACAUCCACCAUUCUCUCAAUUUGUCAUGGCAGUUGUGGCGCUGGUGCCAAUGCCUCUACUCGUUGAGUCGCCACGGGUGACCCCAUAUGCUCCACCGUUUCACGGUAGAGUUUGUCGGACGCUCAACAUCCAGCCGAGCCUGCAGUUGGUUGUGCUUCUUGCCUUGGAAG